AUUGAACGCUGGCGGCAUGCCUUACACAUGCAAGUCGAACGGUAACGGGCCUUCGGGUGCCGACGAGUGGCGAACGGGUGAGUAAUGUAUCGGAACGUACCUUUCAGUGGGGGAUAACGUAGCGAAAGUUACGCUAAUACCGCAUAUUCUGUGAGCAGGAAAGCAGGGGAUCGCAAGACCUUGCGCUGAUUGAGCGGCUGAUAUCAGAUUAGCUAGUUGGUGAGGUAAAGGCCAACCAAGGCGACGAUCUGUAGCGGGUCUGAGAGGAUGAUCCGCCACACUGGAACUGAGACACGGUCCAGACUCCUACGGGAGGCAGCAGUGGGGAAUUUUGGACAAUGGGGGCAACCCUGAUCCAGCCAUGCCGCGUGAGUGAAGAAGGCCUUCGGGUUGUAAAGCUCUUUCGGCCGGGAAGAAAUCGUAUCAGCUAAUACCUGGUGCGGAUGACGGUACCGGCAUAAGAAGCACCGGCUAACUACGUGCCAGCCGCCGCGGUAACAC
rnacentral:rRNA from 1 species